CAACGGUGAAACUCAAAGGAAUUGACGGGGCCCGCACAAGCGGAGGAACAUGUGGUUUAAUUCGAUGAUACGCGAGGAACCUUACCCGGGCUCAAACACGCAGGGAUGUAUGUGAAAGCAUACAGUCCUUUCAGGACCUGCGUCGAGGUGCUGCAUGGUUGUCGUCAGCUCGUGCCGUGAGGUGUCGGCUUAAGUGCCAUAACGAGCGCAACCCCCAUCUUCAGUUGCCAUCAGGUAGAGCUGGGCACUCUGGAGAGACUGCCGGCGCAAGCUGCGAGGAAGGCGGGGAUGACGUCAAAUCAGCACGGCCCUUACGUCCGGGGCGACACACGUGUUACAAUGGCAGGUACAGCGGGAAGCCAGGCGGCGACGCCGAGCGGAACCCGAAAACCUGUCUCAGUUCGGAUCGGAGUCUGCAACCCGACUCCGUGAAGCUGGAUUCGCUAGUAAUCGCGCAUCAGCCAUGGCGCGGUGAAUACGUUCCCGGGCCUUGUACACACCGCCCGUCAAGCCAUGGAAG
rnacentral:rRNA from 1 species